ACAUUCGUAAGCCUAUGGCAAACUAUAGAGUUACGACAGGUCGUCACCGCUACGAACGCUUUGUGGAUCGGGACCCGGCAGAAUCCAGGUUGGCCCUGAUUAUGAUUCUAGGUUUGUCAACACCAUACCAUUGCUCGCGAGUUUCACCACAGUGGUAAACAUACCUUCAUCAGGUCGAGCUCUCCUUCCAAAACAAGCUGACAUGCUAUGAUACCGCUUUGAAUUCCUUUAUUCGCUCAGAGCAGUAUGAAUAUAAAUUACAUAUAAAAUGGUUAUGUAAUGCUAUCGUAUAACAUUAGUCACAAUUGUAUAAUGUUCUGUCAAAAAAACCCCGAUAUAUCAGAUAUUUGAAUUUCAUGUUCCACCAAAUACUGAAGUUAUACUCAACGUGGUGUUGUAGAAAGACGUGUUCAGUACAUUUAUGUAGUUUUGCACAAGGUGAGCUUCAGUACCUACUGUAUUUUCUUCUAUACUGCUAGAGACUGAGAUGAAUCAUUGGUCCAUUCUGUGUUUGUUGUCAAGCAACGCAUGUUUGGGAAAAUGCUCAGGGUUACCUUACGACAAGGGCAAGUAAAAUUUCCUGUAUUCAAGUACAACUUUCCGAUUCACCCUUGUCGUUAUAAUUACAAAGGCAUUACAUGUUUACCUGGGUUAGUAAAGCUUUUGAGACCUUUGUAACAUACAGCAGUAUUCAGUGUUGAAUAACCUUUCUAUCAUCACAUAAUAGUCUGAAAUAUACGUGUAGCGCUCGGGGUAUUCACUUAUUAACAUAUAUACUGGAACCACAGCUGCUUCUGAUGGUUUUAGCUGUCAGGCUUUUAGUCCAUGCUUCUUCACAGUAUGUUAACCAUUUUUCUGCUACAGUAUGCUAACAACGAAUCAUCCAGUUCAUUUACUAUUGAAAAUGACCAAAGCUCUCUUUAUGCAUGAAAUAUACGUUAAUAAUAACCAGUUCUAUUACAAAAUGGCACGUAUGCAUGCAUGUCAAGAGAUCACAUAAACCAGACGAUCAUUUUGGUUUUGCAGUACCGAAGUUGGUGCGAUGACGUCGACAAGGGGAAGGCGUCGCCGGAGGUGCGGGAGAAGAUUCUCACCGACGAAGACGUCAAUAUAAA